rnacentral:hammerhead_ribozyme from 1 species
AUCCAGCUGACGAGUCCCAAAUAGGACGAAACGACUGUCCUGGAU